rnacentral:lncRNA from 1 species
CGUUCCUUGGGUUUGAGGAGAAGAGAGUGUUCUGAGGAAACUCUAGACCUUGAACCAUUAGGAGGUACAGGCAGCAUUGUCGGAACAUCCUUCUUAUAAGCAAGAUUUUGUGUCCUGGAACUCCUACCCACUUGUCUGCAUCUGUCUAAUCUAGAGCAGUGGUUGUCACAAGGUGGUCCAUAACAGCAUCGGCCUCACCUGGAAGCUUGUUAGAAAUGCAGAUUCUCAGGCCCCAUCCCAG